rnacentral:rRNA from 1 species
UACAGAGGGGGCAAGCGUUGUCCGGAAUUACUGGGCGUACAGCGCGCGCAGGCGGUUGCCGACGUGCCGUGUGACAAACGGGGGCUCAACCCCCGAGGGCCACGGUAAACGGGGCGACUGGAGGUAGGGAGAGGGAUGUGGAAUGCCCGGUGGAGCGGUGAAAUGCGCAGAUAUCGGGAGGAACACCGGUGGCGAAGGCGGUUCUCUGGGCCUUACCUGACGCUGAGGAGCGAAAGCGUGGGGAGCGAACAGG